AUAAUGAUUAUAAUUGAAUUGACGAACAAUUUAAGUCUUAAAAAAGCAAUAAGUUAAAUAAAUUGUAUGUUAAUUAAAGCCAGCAAUUAUUUAUUGUGACAUCACAAUGCCAGGCUGCAAUUUUUAAUAUAUUUCAUUUAAAAAAUAUAUUCUCUCCACCUCAAAUUAGUACCGUAUUGUCUUGCCCCUGUAUAUCAUGCUUUUUCAUUAGCAACGAAGUCAUGCCAGUCAUCUAUUAACUGCUUUUGGGGGGAAAAAUUUCAAAUUGAAAUAACAACUUCCAAUUUGUAUCAGAGGUUCAUUUAUAAUUAAUCAGGGUUUCCUGAGGAUUUCCUAUCUGGUCUUAUCUUUCAUCUAUCUAAUUCCAUUCUCAAGAUAAAAGAAUGACAGUGGGAAUUUAUAGGUCUAUGAUUUUUUUCAAAUUGCAGCCAAAUUGUCUUCACGAUUUUUCUUGGCUUUAGAUUCUUAGAAUAUAGUAAAUUAACAGAACACUUCUUGAUUAAUUUGUAAGGACAAAAAGCUAAUUCAUUCAGUUUCUUUAACCGAGAGGUUACUUUUGGUCAAAACAGAAGUACAAGUUUUGAGCCCACAAAAAUAUUUAAUCUUACAAGUGUUUCGAUUAACAGUAUAAUUGUUAGAUCUAGAAGAGAAAAAAUAAAUAAGGAAUAUUAUAAGAGACCGCAAUAGCAAAACAACCAAAAAUACAAAACGAAAUUUCAGUUAUACAACUAGCAUCCUUGCUUAGUAUCUGUUCCCAGUCAUCAAAUAUCCUAAAACAAGAAUGAUAUAAUGGUGCUUUCCGUCUUUGUUAUUCCUCCAAUCACACAAUUGUGUAUUUCGCUUUAGGAAAGAAAAAACUGUAGGAUUUUUGUGGGUUUCCUAAAGCGAAGUCGGACACUCGCAGAUUCUGGCAACAACAGGGAGGAAGUCGUGGUCGAGGAAAGAGGAAAGCACUCAAAAACGUGACCAAAAAUGACUUGUGGGAACGCUUAGAGAAGUGGUGCGGAUGCCAGCUCAAACAUAUAGCUUUUUCGAUGCAGUCACCAGAGCUUACAUCAAAGGAGAAGUAGGUGGGUCUGCAUGUCUCUCCGAAACUUCUCAUAAAGUGAAAAAACUAUCUUUGAAAUUACACUGGUUAAUUUUUUCUGCUUGAGAUUUUUUCCACAAAUUUGACAGUUACACUGUGUGCACAAUGUUGCAAGUAUGCAGAUUUGUAUAUAAAUAGACGGGCUGGUUAACUACCAGGCAAACUUGGGCAGCGAGUGCCAAUCGACCACAAUGAUCUUUAUCCAUUCCAUCAGCACUUAAGUGGUCCUACUCACUUCCAAAUUUCUAAUAUGUCUAUAAUAGAAAGUUAUCAUAUAAAUUUUGUUUGAAGCAACAUGUUACUAAUAAUAAUUUCUCUUUUGUACACGAUUGUAGGAACAUGCCUUUGAAUCCAGUCAGAAAUAUAAAGAAGGCAAAUUCAUCAUCGAGUUGGCCCACAUGAUAAAGGAGAACGGUUGGGACUAGACAUGGAAGACGAUCAACCGACGACAGGUUUCUACCAUGGAAUAUCAUUGGAUUUGCAGAAACGGUUACGUUAAAGACAAUAGGAUUAAUUCCGGUAAAAAAAGGACGGUCUGUUACGACUGUGUUCUCUCUACCGUCGCCGAUAGUGAAAAAAGACGACUCGACUACCAGCCUUCAUCUCUCGACGUAUCGACGUUACUUUGUUUUUUCUAUGGAAGACGACCGUAAGUUGAUGAUAUGUUACGCGGGCGCACGCCGCCCUCUCAUCAUCGUCAUCAUCCGACUGUACUCUGCGUGCGAUUCCUGAUACUUAAUACGAAGCUAAGCCGUACUGUUUUCUCGCUCGGCGCGUUACGCCGCCUUUUCCGUAACGGGGGACGGGUAACGGUACACGAGCUACGACCUAGUCAUUUAAUUUUUAAAAGACUGAAUUUAUUUUUUUAAAUCACUACUAUUUCUCUUAUUUUUUUAAAUUUCCGCAAGAAAAACAAACAAACAAAAAAAAAAAAGAAAACAACCGACAAGGAAGGCGGUAGCUGGGUAUCACACGCUGUAAAAAUCAUCACUUACGACAACUUUUCACUCACCAUACUUUGUACAUUCAUGACUUUUUGUACCAUUAUUUUUUUUCGCUUUUUAGCCUCCAUGCUUAGGUAUAAUCAUACAUUAACAAUAGUUGGCCCGUCUGGAGCGCGUCGACUUCGUUUCGCUUUUUAAAUUCUUCUAGUACUUGUGACGUAACUCUUCUUCUCGUUCAGGACGUAACAGAAAACAAUACUUUGUAGCGUGGUCUUUCCUUUUUACUAUCUUCGGAUUUUAAUUCAUCUCGUAUCCUAAGUGUCCUUUCAAAAAAAAAAAACAAAAAAAGUUUCGUGUGGUAUAGUGGCAUUCCAAAACUAUUUUGCUUAGGAGUCGAUUAAUCUGUACAUUAAAAAACACACGGCGGCGUCUUUACGCAAAUGGGCGUUUCUUUUGUUUCGUUGUCUUAGACUUAAAACAAAGAAAAAACUUUAUCUUCCAGUUGCUGCAAAGUUACAUAGAAACAUCAGUGAUCAAACAUUAUCAGGCUACUAGUCCAAACACGUGAUAAAUAGAAGGCAAACGUAACGGGAAAAAACAAGUAUAUAUACAUAUAUACAUAUAUAUAUAAAUGAUGUUAUAAUAAUACAUAAAUUUAAGCGUAAUUCUUUGCAGCUUUCAUUAUUCACAUCACACCACUCCGAUAGACAUUUGUUCGUUGCAUUUCAAAUAUCUAUUUGGGAUUUUAAUGUAUCGUAUCGCAACUUAGGCAGCAGUCGGUUGCGGGGAGGCGUUUCACACGGUAGAAAAACGGCGAGGGGUUCAGACGCAAUUAAAACACGAAAUUUAAAAAAUAAAUAAAUAAGAAAAAUGGGGAACGUAAAACUUUCCAAAAGGUACUUAGGGGGUAUUUAUCACGUUAUUAUUAUCAUCAUCAUGCAUGCAACCGUGCAGGUCACACGUGCAUGAGAUGUGUGGGGGCUUCGUAACAUUUAUUUUCUGUUAAUGCUGGCCAAUAGCAGAUAUCGUUCGAAAAUCGUUUCAAAUGUGGUGGCGUUGUUGUUGUUGUUGCACGAGGAGUAUUAUCGGUUUCCUCUUCCGAUCCGCGACCCCCCCACCCAACCCGUGCGCUUUUCCCGCAACCGACAGCGUCGUGCCAAUUUAUUGUAUUUAAAAAAAUAAUCCGAAUAAUAUACCAUUUGCACUAGUUUUUUCUCCCCCCCCCGUGUAAAUAGGAGCGAGGUGGUAAGAAAGGGUGUCUAAACAUGUAUUGUUUCUUAAUAGUAGCGAGAGUGUAUUUUCUCAAUAGUGAUGUUUUUAAUAUUCCGAGAAACAAAGGGAAAAUAAUAAUAAUAAUCUAUCCUGUAAAGUGAAGCGUUUGAAAUGAUCUACAGAUAAACGUAUCCCGAUAUAAAACUCUCCCCCCCCUUCUGGAAUGUAACAAAAUAUGACUAUUGACGAAACACUAGAAAAAAAAAAAUAAUAAUAAUAAUAAUACUUUUAUCUGUGGAUCAGAUCUCAGGUGUUUAUUUAAAUUUUGUUUGUUCGUCUUAUUAUUUUGUACAGUUUAAUUUAGUAAAAAUGCAGGAGUCAAUGCAAAGAGCACUCGUAACAUGUACAGCCUGUUUCCGUUUCCGGCCGAGCCUAAGUUCCGAGCAAAGAAAAAAAUAAUAAUAAUAACGAAAAAAAGUUUCCUUAAAAAUUUGCCCGCGUGACCGGUCCCGGGAGUAUGCGUGUUGUGUGUUAACGAAAAACACACGAUAAUUCCAAUCAGUGUUACGUGUAGUGUUUAUCAUUAAGUGUGUGUGUAUGUACUGUACGUCGGAGGGGGGGAAGGCAAGCGAGGGAAGACGGCACUUUUUUCCUACGCGUUUCGUUUCCUUCCCCCCUCCCCGGUUUAUUUCUUUUAUCGUUUUUUUUUUAAGGGAGAAAUUUAGGGCUUUUUACGUGUGUACAGUGUCGUAUAUAUAAUUAUCGAUUUAUGAUUUGGUGUUUUUUAUCCAUUCUUAAGAAUCGGUUGUGUGACGUGAGGUCGCGACCGGCGAGGGGUCGCCUAUAAAAAAUACUAAAUAAAACGAAUUUAAGUUAAAUAUAUUUAUUUGUAUCGAAUGUCUCUAGCCUUACGACUUGUGCUUCCUUUUGUUUUCUAAAUAAAGCUUAAUUUUUCUGCUUGGUGUA
rnacentral:lncRNA from 1 species